GUGAAUCAUCGAAUUUUUGAACGCACAUUGCGCUUCCUGGCAUUCCGGGAAGUAUGCCUGUUUGAGGGUCAGUUUUAACCACAAAUUGGUUUAGUUACAAAUUGUGACGUUUCUGGAGUUUGGGCUAUCUUCACAUUUUGGAUAAGAGGCUCAAAAUUGACCUUCUUUGCGCAUUUCUCAUUGUACAUAAAUUUUUUUUAUUCGUCUAUACUUAAUGCCAAAAUCUUAUUAGAUGCGAUCACG
rnacentral:misc_RNA from 1 species